rnacentral:rRNA from 1 species
UCUGCUUGUUCACGUUGGAAACACAGGUUCUUGUCCGAUCACCGAGAUUUAGCAACACUGAGCGCAGUUUGUACGUGCGUGGUUAACCGGCUGGGAAUUCUGGGUGUUGCGGCC